CGUGACGAGGAGGUCCUGCGGCUGCUCUAUGAGGAAGCCAAGGGCAACGUGCUGGCUGCACGGUACCCGUGCGACGUGGAGGACUGCGAGGCUCUGGGCGCCCUGGUGUGCCGCGUGCAGCUCGGGCCCUACCAGCCCGGCCGGCCGGCAGCCUGCGACCUGAGGGAGAAGCUGGACUCCUUCCUCCCUGCUCACCUCUGUAAGCGGGGCCAGGGUCUCUUUGCUGCCCUCCGGGGCCGUGGGGCCAGGGCCGGGCCGGGCGAGCAGGGCCUGCUGAACGCCUACCGCCAGGUGCAGGAGGUCGACAGUGACAGCGGGUGCGAGGCCGCCCUGGGCACCCACUACCGCGCCUACCUCCUCAAGUGCCAUGAGCUACCCUUCUAUGGGUGUGCCUUCUUCCAUGGUGAGGUUGACAAGCCGGCCCAAGGCUUUUUGCACCGGGGUGGGCGCAAGCCAGUUUCUGUGGCCAUCAGUCUGGAAGGCGUGCACGUCAUCGACAGCAGAGAGAAGGUACUGCCCCCAGCUCCUCCAGGGUGGAGAGGGUGGGA
rnacentral:sRNA from 1 species